AAAAGUUCCAGCUAUACCCUGCUCCUGGAUGUUUUUUCCUGUCCUCUCAUUUGUGCUGAGGUACUGGAUUACUGGAGUGAUCUAAUUAGAAAACAGCUUUUUUUUUUUUUUUUUUAACCCAAACCAUUUGUCUGGUGUGGUUUGAAGUAUGGCCCCUCGGCCAGUUUUGCAGGGGUUGUCUGAGGGAUGGAAGGAGGAGUUCGUGCUCACUAAAUUAAACCAAGACCUCAGUGUGUUCAGAAGAUUGUCACCAAGUACUUCAGAGAUUGCUUUACGAAGGACUCAUUUUCAAGACAGUACUUCUAUAAUAUUAUAUCAUAGAAUGAUUAUUACAAUAAUAUUUAUGGAUAGUAACAUUCAGGCUUUAAUAACUCAAUCAUUAGCCAGGUCUUUUAGUAUCAGAUAAUUCUGUAAGAGGUAUGAUUCAUCUAGAAGGGAGGAAAAGGAUCAUAAAAGGGAAAUCCCUUCUAUUGCAAUAGCAGUGCUUGAGGUCAUGCUUGAGUUCAGCACUUCUGUCUUCCAGAAGCCCUUUUGUUACUCCUUUUCCUGGCGGUGGCAAAGUGAUGAGAACAACUUGUUGGUAUAUAGGAAAAAGAGGGAGGAAAAUCCCUUAAACCUCAGACAGAAAACUGGUGCUUGCUACAGAAUCAAAUAGUGAUGGCAAAAAAAUACCCAGACUCAUCUCUGCCACUUCUCUAGCAAGAGCUGAACUGUUUUUGUGAAUUUUCCAUUAUGCUCAUCUGAAUACAGUAAGAAAAACUUCAGAUUUCCAAGGCGACUUCUACUGGGGUAGUGUGGCAAGGGACUGCACUCAAAGGAGGCAUCCUUAUUCCUGCUACUGGUCCAAGCCUCACUCUUUUCUUCUUUUCUUCUUUUUAAUGUCCAUUUUACAAAUGUCAGGAAGUAAAGGGCUGGAAUUGCAGUGGGGUCCAAAGAAGAUGAAAGUUCAAAUCUUGCCUUAGCCACCUUUGUUGAGAUUUAAGUUAAACAUUAUGAAUAACAUUCUCACAUUAAGGCUAGUGAAACACUGCAAUAAAUGACCUAUGGAGGCAGACA
rnacentral:lncRNA from 1 species